rnacentral:sRNA from 1 species
AUAAGUUGCCGAAUUUCAGCGUUGAAAACGGGGGAACCAUUUUUUGGGUGAAUUAUUCUUGCAUAAAAGGGAAUAUAGGGAACCUUUAACCGAAUCCUCAGCUAACUCCGUAGGCAUUGAAGGGAGAA